GAUGAACGCUGGCGGCGUGCCUAAUACAUGCAAGUCGAGCGAACGGACGAGAAGCUUGCUUCUCUGAUGUUAGCGGCGGACGGAUGAGUAACACGUGGAUAACCUACCUAUAAGACUGGGAUAACUUCGGGAAACCGGAGCUAAUACCGGAUAAUAUUUUGAACCGCAUGGUUCAAAAGUGAAAGACGGUCUUGCUGUCACUUAUAGAUGGAUCCGCGCUGCAUUAGCUAGUUGGUAAGGUAACGGCUUACCAAGGCAACGAUGCAUAGCCGACCUGAGAGGGUGACCGCCCACAGUGGACGUAAGACCGGGCCCGACCCCCACGGGGGGCAGGAGGUGGGAAUUCUUCCGGAAGGGGCAAAGCCCGAAGGGGGCACCCCGGGUGGAGGAAGAAAGUUUUUCGGACGGAAAACCUGUUUUAUUAGGGAAAAAAAUAUGUUAAAGAAACUGGCCACAUCUGGCGGCUCCCUAACCAAAAGCCCAGGCCAAACUCCGGC
rnacentral:rRNA from 1 species